rnacentral:rRNA from 1 species
CCUACGGGUGGCAGCAGUAGGGAAUUUUUCACAAUGGGCGAAAGCCUGAUGGAGCAACGCCGCGUGCAGGAUGAAGGCCUUCGGGUUGUAAACUGCUUUUAUAAGCGAGAAAUAUGAUGGUAACUUAUGAAUAAGGAUCGGCUAACUACGUGCCAGCAGCCGCGGUCAUACGUAGGAUCCGAGCAUUAUCCGGAGUGACUGGGUGUAAAGAGUUGCGUAGGUGGCAUAAUAAGUAGCUAGUGAAAUCUGGUGGCUCAACCAUUCAGACUAUUAGCUAAACUGUUAAGCUCGAGACCGUUAGGGGUAACUGGAAUUUCUAGUGUAGGAGUGAAAUCCGUAGAUAUUAGAAGGAACACCAAUAGCGUAGGCAGGUUGCUGGGACGGUUCUGACACUAAGGCACGAAAGCGUAGGGAGCAAACGGGAUUAGAUACCCGAGUAGUA